rnacentral:lncRNA from 10 species
UGGGUAUGGACUUGGAUCUGGAGGUCUGGAAGAGAAACUGGAUUCAACAGGCUUGAGGGGCCGUCUUCCUUGGACGAACAAGGGGGAGUCUCCCUGCACAAGCUCUCUCUCUUUGCCUGCUGUCAUCCACCUAAGAUGUAACUUGCUCCUCCUUGCCUUCCACCAUGAUUGUGAGGCUUCCCCAGCCACGUGGAACUGUUCAAAUUUCCAUCUGGUGUCAUUUUUCUUCUACCUGAAGAAUUUUCUUGAAUAUUCCUUAUAGCAUAGGUCUGCUGGCAAUAAAUUAUCAGUUUUGGCUUGUCUGAAAAUUUUUUGUUUUGCUUUAAUUUUUUAAACCACUUUUUUGAGAUAUAAUUGAUAUACAAUAAACUGCACAAAUUUAAAGUGUAUAAUUUAACAAGGUUUGAUGUUUGUGUACACCUAUGAAACAAUUACCACAAUCAAAAUAAUGAAUAUAUCCAUAACUCCCCAAAGUUUCUUCAUUUCUCUUUGUAAUCCCUCUUUCCACUUCUCCAUGUUACCGCUUCCUUGGGCAAGAACUGAUCUACUAAUCUAUGAUCACAGAUUAGUUUUCACUUUUCCUAGAAUUUUAUGUAAAUAGAAUCAUAUAGUGUGCACUCAUUUUUGUCUGGCUUUUUUUUUUUUUUUUUUUUUUUGAGACCGGAUCUUGCUCUUUUACCCAGGCUGUGCAGUGGCACCAUCUUGGCUCAUUGCAAUCUCCACCUCCUAGCCUUAAGGGAUCCUCCUGCCUCAGCCCCCUAAGUACCUGGGAUUACAGGCACAAGCCACCACACCUGGCUAAUUUUUGUAUUUUUUUGUAGAGAUGGGGUUUCACUAUCUCUACACCAUGUUGCCCAAGCUGGUCUUGUACUCCUCAGCUCAAGUGAUCCACUCACCUUGGCCUUCUGAAGUAUUAGGAUGACAGACAAGCCACCAUGCCCAGCUGUCUGGCUUCUUUCACUUAGAAUAAUUACUUUGAGUUUCAUUUAUUUUGCAUGUAUCAAUAUAUCAUAUGACAUAAUUUGUAUGUUUAUUCAUCUGUUAAUGGACAUAUGGGUCAUUUCCAGGUUUUGGCUAUUACAAAUAAAACUUCUGUGAACCUUUGUGUGCAUGCUUUUAUUUAGAAAUAUGCGUUAAUUUCUCUUGGUUUUUGCCUAAUUUUUUAAAGAUAUUUUUGACCAGUGUAGAAUUCUAGAAUUGCGAGCCUUUUUCUUUCCAUAUCUUUGUGAUGUCAUCUGGUUUGCAAGUCUGAGGCAAGUCUGGUUUGCAAGUCUGCUGUAAUUCUUACUUUUAUUCCUUUAUGUAUAAUGCAUCUUUUUUCCUCUGGCUGAUUUAAAUUUUUUUAUCUUUUUCAUUAAAUUUCAGCAAUUUGAUUAUGAUGUGCCUUGUGUGGUUUUUCUUCAUGUUUGGGAUUUAUUGAGCGUUUUGGAUCUGUAGGUUUAUCAUUUUUAUCACAUUUGGAAAUUUUUUGACUAUUCUUCAAAUAUUUUU